UGAACGAAGAAGAAGAAUGGUGAGUGGAAGCUAAGGAGAGAGAACAGAGAAGAGUAGAAAGGUAAUAGUAUAUGCUCCUCUGUCUUUGACUAAGUUAGUACUUCACGAUAGCACACCGGCUUUUAAGUCCAACUCUAUAAGUGCAGCAGUUUCCAGCAUCUUGCUAACUUUGUGUUAAGCUGGGCUGCUACUGUGUUACGGCGGUAGCGUUGGGAAACUUAUAUUAGACUGUAUUCGGAACCGCCUACUACAUACUACAGACGAACGCAGUAUGUACUACAUAACGUUACUGCUUACUGCUUUUCAUAGUAGUAUGCAGUAUGAAACGGUUGAAUCGAUUUAUUUUGCAGUAUGCAAGGCCAGGCUUAGUCGGUUUACGGUUUUGGAAAGCGGAAUUAAACAAUAUCAAUUAGAAGAAUAUAACCACUUAUAAACAUUUUUUCGAAUUUAAUCUUGUCUAAGGAGAACAGUUCACAUUUGGAUUAGGCUACAGCCUAUCCGUAACGAACGCAUCACUACAUUUGUCCUACUAACGUUACCCAUAACAAAGCCAUAACGUUUAAGUUAAGAUAAAAAAAAACUGUUGUUGUGACCAUAGACUGUAUAAAACAUGGACGUAGUGUCCGUGACGUCACCCAUAGGUUUCUGAAGAGGUUUUGAAGCUCAAAGUGGGCGGCGCCGGGCGUUGCUGGCUGUCGCCAUCUUGGCAGUGCGUAACUUUGACCAACUCCCGGAUAACCAAAAAUGGGCAAAGAGGUGGGGCGUUGGUGGAGCUGAGGUGCCUUGUUACUGAAACACGCCCACCUAGCUCGACGUUACCAAGCUAGCUAAGGCUAAGAAGCUAGGCUAUAUGCUACUCUGCGGUGCUAGCCGGCUAACCCUGUGGUAUGCGGUUGGCGGUCUGUGGAUGGUACCCUGAUGGUACCUAGUUGUCGUCCCAGUUUACUUUUGAGGUAAGUUAACCUGAAACUAUACAACAAUAAUGAAUGAAAUAAUGAUUUAUCUGUUAUUGAGAUUAUACUACACAAUAUUUAAAAUGCCUCAACAUUUUUUAAUAUAUAAUUAUGGUAAUUUGCAACACUACAUUCUGUCGACACUUGCAGAAAUAUGGCCAGUGUUACCGAGAAUUAGCGUAGUUUACUUAAUUCAUGUCUAAUGAACAAUUUGAAGCAAAUCAAUUAGCCUGAAUUUAGAUUUUCACAUAACUUUAGUUGCGAGUCAUUUAUUUGGAUGUCACUUGAUUAUAACGUUACUUUUAAUAAGUUAACGUUAAAUUAACGUUACCUACAUGUGAUUGCAUAGUCAUAAUUAUUAUUGCCACUUUUUUUUAGCCUUUUAAGGAAUUAUACCAUACCUGCAGUUCGCUUCUCAGUGCGGAUGCGUCAGUGCAGAACAGCUUAAGAAGAAAGAAAGCACUUUUAUUUUUGUUACAUGUUGCUUAUUUCUUUCAAUCCCUGUUGAGGGCAUGGCUCCUGUAAUGCCUCCACCAGGCCUGCUACACACAGCAUAAACUGUAAGUACUAGUCUUGGCUACUUGACUCUAGACAGCUGAUUUUACAUUUUCUGUCUUCAAAGGCCAACAAUAACAAAAAAUGUUAGACUGUCAUCUAUAUUUUGAAGUGUUGCUCCCUUGUUCCAUUUUCUCCUACAGAUGUGACAUAAUAGUAUUGUAAACAUGAAAAACUGAGCCACCCUUUUUAUAAUUUUCAUUACCUGAAGCAUUUAUUACACUACACAAUUUAUUUUCCGACCAUAAUCACAGUGUUGAUCUGCGAGGAAGAGCAACACUGGAUGUCUUCAUCAUCCACUGUGGCGGCAACGGCAUGGGGAUGUCAGCAGCGUCAAUCUGGUCAACAUGAUAGAGGAGGACUUGCACCAGCUUCACCUCCAGCACCUUGUCACGAAGAUCAUGUUUUUGUCUGUGACCCAAAAGGUGCCGGUGGAAGGCUGGUGCUAAUCCAGUGAAGCUCAACAAGGCCAGGAUAUUUGUUCAUAGUGUUAUAGCUACAUUUCGUAGCUUAAAUGGUGUUAUGAUUGAGCACUCUCACAUUAGACAUGACAGUCUUGGGCUCUUUUUGAAAGAUGGAGUUCAUUUCACACCUAGAAGAAAUUAUGUUUUUAAGUACAAUAGCUAAUUGCCUUAAAGACCACUUCCAAACGCAGUGAACUGCUUACAGUUGGCAAUGUCACUGCUUUUAAAUUUGGCCUUUAGGGCCCAUUUUAUUACACCUAAACAUAGCCCUGACCGUCAUGGCUAAUGUUGGGUUUAUUUUUUAUGUUAAUUAUGGUUGUUAAAAAAUAACAUCUGUAUCCAUAACACUGUUACCACCUCUGCUCUUCCUCAUUCCUACAAUCCCACCCUUUAUCCCCUUUUCACCCUACCACCCCACCACCCCAUGGACUCUGCAGCUCUCUGGGCAUAGCCAUUAACUAGACCCAGACCCAGUUUGUUGAUUUUAUUUUAAUAAAUGUGUUUACUUUUACAUUUAUAGUUAGUAUAUAUUGUCCACCUUUUUGUUUUUUAUGUCCUUUCUUAUUAAAAAAACAUGGUUCAUAUUUGAAAAAAUUCUAUUUAUAUUUGUACUCCUUUUGUCUUUAUUACUGACUAAAAAUGUUAGAUUUCACAUUUAAAUCUGACUUACCUGCACACUGAGUAGUUAUGAAUCCCCCUGGGAGGUAUCAUUUAUUUGCAACGUUGCAAACUCUGAGAAGGUCUUCCUCAGGUAAAUACACAGGUAUUGAUUCUGAGGCUUAUAUAGUGAGGCAAAAAGGAACAAUCAGCUGAUCGAAUGCAUCUGUAGCAAAUAGGUGCAUUCGAUCAGCCAUGUUUUUUUUCUUUUGCCUCAUUAUACAGUAUUGGCCUCACAAUACCUGUGCAAUACCCACAAAAGGCUUCUCAGAGAUAACGAAUGAAUGAAACCUCCUAGGGGGCUUCAAAACUAUUCAGUGUCCAAACAAAACCAGCACAUAACAUUAUCUUUUCAUUUUUUACUUUCUGGUAAGAUCUAUGGAAAAUGUUAACCUAUAAAUUAAAAUUAAAAUUUUUACAUUUUCAUUUAUAACUAUUAACUAUUAUUGUUAAAAGUUAGAUCACCACUAUAUUUCCAAUUAACAUAUGAAAGUGAUGAACGACAGCUUUUAAGAAUGUGCUUUUACUCUAAAGUAUAUUUCGUCAGAUCCAUUUUAUAUAACCAAAAUGUACCAUUACACAAGCAAAAGUUUAAUAAAUUGAAAUUAUAUCUUGCAUUCAUGAAAACAUCAAUAUUAAAGGUUAAAAUUUACAAAUUCUUUUGUAUGACUUCAGUACACUUGAAAUAAAUGAAAAGAUGUGCAAGACGACAGUAAUUAUAAUGAUAGAACCUAUGGAUAAUAACACUGUCAUAAUUUGGCAAAAUCUUUGUCUUGUGAAACAAGUGAUGGUUUCAACCUCUUAACCAUAGAGUACACAUCACAUUGGCCUAGGCGUUGUUACUUUCCUCAAGCGUCUGUCAUAACCCGGCCCAUAGGCCAUGACAAAAACGACACAGAAUGCAAAUAAAUACAAGUUAUUUAAUAUAAUAAAGAAAAUAAACUGAACUGUAACUUUGGAAAUGAGGUGUGUUAGUCAGUGAAAUCAAUUUUGUUCAUGUGGAUGUGUGUGGAUAGUGUAGAAUAAGGUGUAGUAAAUAAAAUGCUAAGCAAAGCAAUAGGGUGCAGGCGCUGACAGGGAAGAGAAGGAGUCACACUUGAAGCUGGGACUAUAUCCUGUAGAGCACUGUGCCCAGGUGCUCCAGAUCUGGUUGGAUACUGCAGUCUGGCACCUCAAAAGACAACAUGGGUAGACACAGUUACUGACAAAGCACACACCCAAGUAGACAGGACACGGAAGCGCUGCCUGCUUCCUUUUCCCAAAAGGAAGCUGCCUGCUUCAGACAGAGUGCACAGCUCACGCUCAGCACUAAUAGAUUUGGCUGAUGAUUAUUUUUUCCUCGUGCCACAAGCGAAUCUGGCAAGAAAACACACAGAUAAUCUAUUAUAAAUGAUAUAAAUUGAUAUUAUAUAUGAUAUAAAUGAUCUGAUUUUGAUAAAUAAUAUCCCAUGCUUGCCAACCCUUUUGAUUUCUCUGCCCCUCUCCCCGCUGUUCUCCUGGAGUGGUCCCCCCCACCCCACGAUAAAAUAUCAAGAUCUGCCCAUCCACUAUAUUUAUUAGACUUAUUCCACAUAUUUGUCAGUUGUCUCUAAACAGAGAGCAAGAAAGAUGGGCAGACACACAGGCCUAUGCUACCAACGCCUAGCUUCUUAGCCUAGCUUCUUAGCCUUAGCUAGCUUGGUAACGUCGAGCUAGGUGGGCGUGUUUCAGCAACCAGGCACCUCAGCUCCACCCACACUCCACGUCUUUGCCCAUUUUUGGUUAUCCAGGAGUUGGGCUGAGUGACGCGCUGCCAAAGUGGUGCCAGCCAACACCGCCCACUUUGAGCUUCAAAACGGCAUUUCAGAAACCUAUGGGUGACAUGAUGGACACUACGUCCAUGUUUUAUACAGUCUAUGGUUGUGACCAUUCCAGUCCUUUGUACUGUGGGACACAGUAUUGCGAGGUAGACUGGUCUGGUCAAGGCCCCAGGAAGCGUGCCAGGCUUUGAAGCCAAUUUAACAUAGAAGCCAUACCAUGUAAUUACAAUUCUGGGUCCGUCACAUGAUGCACAGAGGCCUGUCAGUGCCCGAUCUGUAGCGGCUGCCCGACCCGUUCUGUAAAUGUGCAAAACAGGUCCUCUAAGUAAAAGAAAGUUGGAAUUAUUCAUCAUAUUCAAUCAUUGGAAAUUUAAUAGUUCACUAUUAUGUAAUAGGAAAUUUACUGAAGUUAUAAAAAAGACCUGACACUUGUCAGUGCCCGAUACGUGCCAACACCACCUGCCUGAUCCAUGCUGCACAUAUACGUACUUAUUACUGACCGUUUUGUACCACGCAUUUGAGAACAUUUUACUUGACGACAGCUCAUGGAUGUAUAAGCCACCCAGCAAGUUUUUUAAAAAACAUUAACAACACAAUAUUAUAGUAGAGAUCGUAAUAGAAAACUCUGUAUCAGAGGAUUACACUGUGAUUUCAAAAUAAUGUAUUAUUUUUUGUAUUAUAUACUGUGAUGUAUAUUUACAACAGCUUUCAUAAUGACACACUAUCUGGAACAUGUAUUUUUCAUAUACUAAAUGAAUUAUAUUGAUUGAGCACAGAAUUAAAACAAAACAGAAUUACGUUGUUUUUUUAAUGUUUUUAAUUACAAACAAAGUAUGGAUUAUCUGAUCAUACAUGGACCAAACUAUUACAUUUCCAGUGAUUAAAAAACAUUUUGUUAUCUUGAGUGUGAGUAUGAUUGAAUGAUCAGUCAUUCACAUCACGAGUAAUUUUUAACAGGCACAUUUGCGGUAACCUCCGUUGACUGACAAAAGUAUUUUUGGGCACUGACAGGGCCUUUUUUCCAUAGGUUUAGUCUGUGUUCCAUUCCACAGUGUACAUAAACAGUACUCCCUCCUCCCUGUUCAGGGAAUUUCGGUUAAGGGAACUUCCUUCGACAAAAUUCCUCCAUUCGGAACAUCCUGCAACGUCACCAAUGCAGACUUCACUUCCUCUGUGCGUUGACAGGUGUCUGCCUCCAGAGCUGCAGAGACCGGAUCUGUGGUUGGGGGCCACCUG